UACGCUGAGAGGGGACUAGUUGGCUGUCAAAAUGAUGCGACUGAAGAAGAUUUUGCCUAUUUAAUCAAGCACGCAAGCGUAAAUGGCAGGCAGAUCUGUUCACAUAGGAUUUCGGUGCAUCGUCUUAUUUUAGCCACUGGUCCUAUAGUAAAUUAUGGAACGCAACUCGCAAACGGCGAAUUUCUGUGACUUCAGAGAGUGGGACCCCCCACGCCAGUGGCUUACCGAGCCUGUAAAUCCUUCAUUGGUGCCCUUAUUGCCUGAGGUCAGCUAGAGUUAAUGAAGAGUUCGCCUUCAAAAAUACGUCACGGGUUCCUGAUUCGUUUUACAUCUAAAUGAGAAGUGUCUCAUCUUCUGUAUUCCGUUUCGAUCACGUCAGUGAAACGCCGACGUAAAUUAGACUGUGUUUCCAGGUCAUAAACGUGGACACAACUAGUUCCCGUUAAUCACUACGGAAGUGGAUGCUCGUGCGGUCUAUUUCGUCCGGUUCGUCGUAUUGCCGUCGCAAGAAAGUAUUCUAGUGUCCGUUCGUCGCUCUAUGGUAACGUCAUGUUAGAAAUGGAGUUUCUUUUCGAGCUGAGUGGUUAUAACAGGUCAAAAGUGAUACUAUAGUCAGCGCAUGGUUCGGGUCAUGCUGACUGAACGACAUUAGAAAACAAGGCACUCUCGCCACGAUCUUUCUAAUAGCGGCACCGGCAGGUCACAGCGAAAUGGCAUAAUACAACAUCAAGG